rnacentral:rRNA from 1 species
CAGCCGCCACGGGAAUACGUAGGUGGCAAGCGUUAUCCGGAAUUAUUGGGCGUAAAGCGCGCGUAGGCGGUUUUUUGAGUCUGAUGUGAAAGCCCACGGCUCAACCGUGGAGGGUCAUUGGAAACUGGAAAACUUGAGUGCAGAAGAGGAAAGUGGAAUUCCAUGUGUAGCGGUGAAAUGCGCAGAGAUAUGGAGGAACACCAGUGGCGAAGGCGACUUUCUGGUCUGUAACUGACGCUGAUGUGCGAAAGCGUGGGGAUCAAACAGGAUUAGAUACCCGCGUAGUCCCUGUCUCUUAUAA